rnacentral:rRNA from 1 species
UACGUAGGGUGCAAGCGUUGUCCGGAAUUAUUGGGCGUCAAGAGCUCGUAGGCGGUUUGUUGCGUCGGCUGUGAAAUCCCGAGGCUCAACCUCGGGUCUGCAGUCGAUACGAGCAAACUAGAGUGUUGCAGGGGAGACUGGAAUUCCUGGUGUAGCGGUGAAAUGCGCAGAUAUCAGGAGGAACACCGGUGGCGAAGGCGGGUCUCGGGGCAACAACUGACGCUGAGGAGCGAAAGCGUGGGGAGCGAGCAGG